CGUGCACUCCGUGUUCGCUGCAGGGACGAUCAGGUGACCCCUUACUUGGUCCCUUUUAGGUCGAUUCGUCUUCGUGGGAAGCAACCCCUUCACCUUUCUGCUCUCCUCUCCCUCCCUACCUUCCCGAGGCCGCCGUUCCCAAGAUUAGUUCACGCCAUAGCUCGCUUCCCUGGAGCCCGCCGAUCGCUCGGAUCCUGGUCGCAGCUUGGAGAUCCGGACUGGCAUUUUUCCUGGUAGGGUGGUCAGUGGCGAGAAAAAAGGUUGUUUUUUGGCUGAGUCUCUGAGCUCCGGAGGCUUCCAUCUUGGAUGACGUCUCCCUAAAAGGCACAAUUGCAAUAGUUUGACCUGCCUGCCUUCGAUGCCUUUGCCGGCGGUGGGCUAAGAUAAGCUGGCAUACUGUCUCUGUCUGUUGAAAUUUCUCAACUAGGAGGGUGAUGGGGUCGUCCGGUUGCAGCUCUGAGAUAGUUGAGUCCAACGAAGACUUGGGUAAUGCGCCCGUUAGUGGCUCCAGCGUGCUGCAUAUCAAUGUGAAAACUGAGGAGAAAGAUGGAAGACGUCGUGGUCAUCCUGUGGAAGAUGAGCUCGACCAGCUUCUUAAGGCGAUUGAUAGCAGGACUUACUGUCGAGCACUUAGCCCCGGCCAGGCCGGGGCAGAUUCUUUGUUGAAGCAUGGUCAAAAGACACCUAGGUCAGGGCCAUCUCAAAUUGAAGUCCCUGGGAUAUGCUCCAAACCUGUCAAUAUGAAGCAGGCACUGAGAAGGCAUUGCAUUUCCCAGGCGUCAGAAAUGGCUGCAAUGAAGAGGUUGUCGAUGUCGCCUGGGUCAUCGAGUUCAUCUGAAGCAGGGACUAUCCACAGGCUUUAUGCCUCCUUGAUGGUUCAGAGCAGUGAUGGAAGCCUUGUGCAUGAUGAUAAAAAGAACUUGAUUGAGAUAUCAAUCACUCCAGAAAAGAUUAGUAAGAAUCUAUCUAGAGGAACAAGUGGCUUUAGUGAAGACUGUGAUUUUGAGACAGCUGAUGGAAGUGCAGUCACCUCCAUCCAUUCUGCAUCUUCUACCUCAAUUGAUAUACAAAAGGUCAGGAUCCAAGAUGUCAUCAGUGGUGACCCUGUAGAAAGUGAGAGCUCCAUUGUGCAAAAUGGAAAAACGCAUAAACAAGUUUCUGCGGCUACUGAUGAUAGUCCAUCCAGAAUCCCCAUAUUGAUCAAACCCAUCACAACAUCCCGGCUCGUGAAGCCAGUUUUUCGAUGCAAAACCAGCAGUAAGAGUAAAAUGAAAGAAGAACAACCUUCACUUGGUAAUUCUUCCAAUAGUACUAAAUUCUGCUCUUCAAAGGAAUCCAUUUCCCAUGUAUCAACCAGCUCCUCGUCGGUGUCCAGCAUUAGUAAUCCCACCAGCUGUGCAGAAGGGGAGAUAAAUCCAGGACCAGAAAAAUCUGAUGAGAGGUCGUCUGAAUGGCUAACAUUGGAAAGAGGUGAGUGCUCCCAGAAUUCGAAGAGCAGCAUUAGUGAGUAUGGAUGUAGCACUAGUAUCAGCGAUGAGAGCCAAUUUGGCUUAUGUGGCUAUAACAACAGGCCCCAUAUGGUGAAGGAUCUCUGUUGGAUAACCAUUCGCCAGUUGGCGUUGCAACAGGGACCCUUAGGACUCGACAACUUUAGGCUUCUGAAGAGGCUUGGAUGUGGGGAUAUCGGGACUGUGUAUCUUGCAGAAUUGGUUCAUUCAGAUUGCUUGUUUGCUUUGAAGGUUAUGGAUAUUGAGUACCUGAUUAGUAGGAGAAAGAUGCUACGAGCACAGGCUGAGAGAGAGAUACUAGAAAUGCUGGAUCAUCCUUUUCUUCCUACUCUUUAUGCCCAUUUUACGACAGACAAUCUCUCAUGCUUAGUCAUGGAGUACUGUCCGGGUGGUGAUUUGCACGUUCUUCGUCAAAGACAACCCGGUAGAAGCUUCCCAGAGCCAUCUGCGAGGUUUUAUGUUGCAGAAGUUCUCCUUGCGCUGGAAUAUCUUCACAUGCUGGGAGUCAUAUACCGUGAUCUUAAGCCAGAGAAUAUCCUCGUCCGCGAUGAUGGUCACAUCAUGCUAUCAGAUUUUGAUCUCUCGCUAAGGUGCUCUGUUAGCGCCGUGCUCCUCCGGUCAUCCUCGGUAGCAGCGAAUCACCAACCAAAGAAGCUUACAAGCCCUUGUGCAGAGAGCUACUGCAUCAACUCGUCGUGCCUCCAGCCCUCUUGUGCCCAAACGUCUUGUUUCAGGCCACGCCCCUGGGUACCGAAGCCUAGGAAGCCUAAAUCUUCCCUGAAGGGGCUGCCUCAACUUGUUGUAGAGCCUACAGAAGCACGCUCCAAUUCCUUUGUUGGCACACAUGAGUAUCUUGCACCAGAAAUCAUCAAAGGAGAUGGUCACGGGAGUGCUGUUGACUGGUGGACGUUUGGUGUGUUUCUUUAUGAACUUGUGUAUGGUAGGACACCCUUCAGAGGUCCUGGGAAUGAUGAAACAUUGGCAAAUGUUGUUUCCCAGAAUCUCCGGUUCCCGGAUAACCCGGUUGUCAGCAGCAAUGCAAAGGAUCUCAUCAGAGGAUUGCUAGUCAAGGAGCCGGAGAACAGGCUGGGAACGUUGAGAGGAGCAGCUGAAAUCAAGCAGCACCCUUUCUUUGAAGGGUUGAACUGGGCCUUGAUACGAUCUGCUGCCCCACCAGAGACACGGCCUUGCGAUGUCGUGACUCUUGCGACGGUGCGGAAGAAGAAAGAAGGCAAAUGUCUGGACUUCAGGAGCGCCGAGGAGCUGGAGUUUGAAGUUUUCUAGUGAGGUCUUGGUACAGUUUAGCACAAUUUCUGCCGAUAGUCUACAAUUUUUCUGUUGAGUAGCCGAAUACUUGGAGGAGCAUGCAGAUCCACUGUUUCUGCUAAGGGCAAGAGGGUGAUUACCUUUCCUCUCAAAUGGGCGCAAUAAUGCAUGCAAGCACUGAUGUUUCACCUACAAGACUCGGACUUCUGUGAAAGGAACUCUUACAAAGACAUCAUUUUUCUUACUCCAUAUACUCCCUCCGUUAAAUGUCUAAAACGCCUUACAAAAGUGAACAUAGGGAGUAGGUUUUUUCUAAGAAUGAAGUAGGGUUUCUUGGUGCAGUAAACUGAUUUUCCAAUGAAGAAGAAGCCACGAGAAUGAUCACAAAAACAAUCAAAUUAUCUGUACUCCCUGCAAUGUGUAUCUUUGUCUUGUUCCUCCCUAGGAUCCUAUUGUCCAAGGCAUCGCCCCUCCAUGGGGCCCUAUGAUCAAAUCAUUCAUAUGCUUGUGCGCCAACCACAUGUGGUGUUGGAUCCAGAAACAUGGAGAUGUAACAACUGGGGUUGGACAACUGAAAUCUUAAAUCAGUUCUGGAGUUUGCACGAUU